rnacentral:rRNA from 1 species
GACGAACGCUGGCGGCGUGCUUAACACAUGCAAGUCGAACGCUGAAGCUCAGCUUUUGUUGGGUGGAUGAGUGGCGAACGGGUGAGUAACACGUGAGUAACCUGCCUCCUUCUUUGGGAUAACGCCCGGAAACGGGUGCUAAUACUGGAUAUUCACUGGUCUUCGCAUGGGGGUUGGUGGAAAGGGGUUUUCUGGUGGGGGAUGGGCUCGCGGCCUAUCAGCUUGUUGGUGGGGUGAUGGCCUACCAAGGCUUUGACGGGUAGCCGGCCUGAGAGGGUGACCGGUCACAUUGGGACUGAGAUACGGCCCAGACUCCUACGGGGGGCAGCAGUGGGGAAUAUUGCACAAUGGGCGCAAGCCUGAUGCAGCGCCGCCGCGUGAGGGAUGGAGGCCUUCGGGUUGUGAACCUCUUUCGCUCAUGGUCAAGCCGCAACAAUGGUUGUGGUGAGGGUAGUGGGUAAAGAAGCGCCGGCUAACUACGUG